AGCAGCCGCGGUAAUUCCAGCUCCAAUAGCGUAUAUUAAAGUUGUUGCAGUUAAAAAGCUCGUAGUUGAAUUUCGAGACCGGCUUACUGGUCGUGCUAUUGUACGUACUGGUAUAAUCGGUUUCUCCUUUCUGACGAACUAUAAUGCCAUUAAUUUGGUGUUAUAGGGAAUCAGGACUGUUACUUUGAAAAAAUUAGAGUGUUUAAAGCAGGCUCACGCUUGAAUACAUUAGCAUGGAAUAACGGAAUAGGACGUUUGAUUCUAUUUUGUUGGUUUCUAGGAUCGACGUAAUGAUUAAUAGGGAUAGUUGGGGGCAUUAGUAUUCAAUUGUCAGAGGUGAAAUUCUUGGAUUUAUUGAAGACUAACUACUGCGAAAGCAUUUGCCAAGGAUGUUUUCAUUAAUCAAGAACGAAAGUUAGGGAUCGAAGACGAUCAGAUACGUCGUAGUCUUAACCAUAAACUAUGCCGACUAGGGAUCGGAUGAUGUUAAUUUUUUAAUGACUCAUCCGGCGCCUUACGG
rnacentral:rRNA from 1 species